rnacentral:rRNA from 1 species
AGCGAACGCUGGCGGCAGGCUUAACACAUGCAAGUCGAGCGGGCACUUCGGUGUCAGCGGCAGACGGGUGAGUAGCACGUGGGAACGUACCCUUUGGUUCGGAAUAACGCUGGGAAACUAGCGCUAAUACCGGAUACGCCCUUUUGGGGAAAGGCUUGCUGCCGAAGGAUCGGCCCGCGUCUGAUUAGCUAGUUGGUGGGGUAAUGGCCUACCAAGGCGACGAUCAGUAGCUGGUCUGAGAGGAUGAUCAGCCACACUGGGACUGAGACACGGCCCAGACUCCUACGGGAGGCAGCAGUGGGGAAUAUUGGACAAUGGGCGCAAGCCUGAUCCAGCCAUGCCGCGUGAGUGAUGAAGGCCUUAGGGUUGUAAAGCUCUUUUGUCCGGGACGAUAAUGACGGUACCGGAAGAAUAAGCCCCGGCUAACUUCGUG